CAGUUCUGGAUUGAUCUCUUCAGUGACCUACAGGAGCGGCACCUCUUCAGUGGAAGCCAUGAACAUACGUGCCUUCUAAGGUAUGUCUUCUUGGGCGUCUUGCAGAAAGAGCUGGAUGAAUACAGAGAACUUUGGAAUAACCACACCAUCCGGCCUGUUCGUCAAUCUCGUUGUCCUUCUGGUAAACCUGAAGCCAUGUACCACCUGUCUCAUAGGUUUAAUGCAAGGGACUGUGGAUUCCCAGUGUCUCAGGAAGUCUUACAUGAGUUCGAGGACAUUCUGCCUGAACAGCGGAGUCUGUGUGGGGAUGAUAAUCUUAAAAUUCAUUUUGCAAAUUUACAGAGACAGAGUAGACUGGCUCCACCAAUCAACUGGACAACUGCUGUUGAGAAUUACAUAUCACUCAAAAAUAUGUCCGGACUUUAGAAUUCAGUUAAUUUAGUACAUUUCUUACUGUAAAUAUUUAUUUUUGUGAGUGGAUGCAGUUGCUAAGGACUUCCUUUGGACAACUUUAAAGGCAACUUCUCAAUAUUUUGAUAUUUUUGCACCAUCAGAUUACAGAUUUUCAAAUAGUUGUAUAUCAGGCCAAAUAUUGUUCCAUCCUCAAAACACUAUUUAUCUAGACAGGGUAGAUUAUUGUGUAUUAACAAAAGAAGAGAGAAGAAGACUAUUAAUUCACUUUAUUUUUCGCUGGAUUUGUUUAACACCAGUGUUAUUUUUUUGAACAUCAGCAAAUUUGUGAACUGUUUAAGCUCUAUGCCAUAACACAAUCUUUAUUUUACUUGAUCCAUCAGGAAAAAUGUCAAAAUAAAUGUAUAUUGUAUCUUC